UACGUAGGGAGCAAGCGUUGUUCGGAUUUACUGGGCGUAAAGGGCGCGUAGGCGGCUCGGUAAGUCACUUGUGAAAUCUCUGAGCUUAACUCAGAACGGCCAAGUGAUACUGCAGUGCUAGAGUGCAGAAGGGGCAAUCGGAAUUCUUGGUGUAGCGGUGAAAUGCGUAGAUAUCAAGAGGAACACCUGAGGUGAAGACGGGUUGCUGGGCUGACACUGACGCUGAGGCGCGAAAGCCAGGGGAGCAAACGGG
rnacentral:rRNA from 1 species